AUUGAACGCUGGCGGCAUGCCUUACACAUGCAAGUCGAACGGCAGCACGGGGGCAACCCUGGUGGCGAGUGGCGAACGGGUGAGUAACACAUCGGAACGUGUCCUGUUGUGGGGGAUAACCAGUCGAAAGACUGGCUAAUACCGCAUGAGCUGGAGACAGGAAAGCGGGGGACCUGAAAGGGCCUCGUGCGAUUGGAGCGGCCGAUGUCCGAUUAGCUAGUUGGUGGGGAAAGGCCACCAAGGCGACGAUCGGUAGCUGGCCUGAGAGGAUGAUCAGCCACACUGGGACUGAGACACGGCCCAGACUCCUACGGGAGGCAGCAGUGGGGAAUUUUGGACAAUGGGGGCAACCCUGAUCCAGCCAUGCCGCGUGAGUGAAGAAGG
rnacentral:rRNA from 1 species